AACGAACGCUGGCGGCAUGCCUAACACAUGCAAGUCGAACGAGAUCUUCGGGUCUAGUGGCGCACGGGUGCGUAACGCGUGGGAAUCUGCCCUUUGGUUCGGAAUAACAGUUGGAAACGACUGCUAAUACCGGAUGAUGACGAAAGUCCAAAGAUUUAUCGCCAGAGGAUGAGCCCGCGUAGGAUUAGCUAGUUGGUGUGGUAAAGGCGCACCAAGGCGACGAUCCUUAGCUGGUCUGAGAGGAUGAUCAGCCACACUGGGACUGAGACAUGGCCCAGACUCCUACGGGAGGCAGCAGUGGGGAAUAUUGGACAAUGGGCGAAAGCCUGAUCCAGCAAUGCCGCGUGAGUGAUGAAGGCCUUAGGGUUGUAAAGCUCUUUUGCCCGGGAUGAUAAUGACAGUACCGGGAGAAUAAGCUCCGGCUAACUCCGUGCCAGCAGCCGCAGUAA
rnacentral:rRNA from 1 species